rnacentral:rRNA from 1 species
UACCAGCUCUCCGAGUGGUAGGGAUGAUUAUUGGGCUUAAAGCGUCCGUAGCCGGCUUAGCAAGUCUCCUGUUAAAUUCAGCGACUUAAUCGUUGAGCCGCGGGAGAUACUACUAGGCUAGGAGGCGGGAGAGGUCGACGGUACUUCCGGGGUAGGGGUGAAAUCCUAUAAUCCCGGGAGGACCACCAGUGGCGAAGGCUGUCGACUAGAACGCGCUCGACGGUGGGGGACGAAAGCUGGGGGAGCGAACCGGAUUAGAUACCCGGGUAGUCCCAGCUGUAAACGAUGCGGGCUAGGUGUUGGGGUGCUACGCGCCACUUCGGUGCCGCAGGGAAGCCAUUAAGCCCGCGCCUGGGGAGUACGGCCGCAAGGCUGAAACUUAAGGAAUUGGCGGGGAGCACCACAAGGCGUGAAGCUUGCGGCUC